rnacentral:lncRNA from 1 species
GAAAAUGUAGAGCAGGGGUUUAACAGAAUGAUAGCUUAUCUCCUAAAGAGGAUUUUUUUUUUUUUUUUUUUGGAGAAAGAUUAGCCCUGAGCUAACAUCUGCCGUCAAUCCUCCUCUUUUUUGCUGAAGAAGACCGGCCCCGAGCUAACAUCCAUGCCCAUCUUCCUCUACUUUACACGUGGGAUGCCUGCCACAGCAUGGCUUGAGAAGUGGUGCAUAAGUCUGCACCCGGGAUCUGAACCGGUGAACUCUGGGCAGCCAAAGUGGAAACUGCCAACUUAACCGCUGCACCACCAGGCUGGCCACGAGGAUUUUUUUUUUUUAAUGAACAAUUUUCUCAUAGGAGCCCCAGAAAGAUUCAGGCCUUAGAGACACUAAGUACCAUAGAAGGUGAGGGUGAAAACACGGGUUUGGUCGAAGGUCUGUGGAAGGUGGACCUCUGGCUCCCUGCUCCACCCCAUGCAGCCAGGCAUUUGUAUUUCCACCCUUCCUGUCCUCUCCCCUCUCCCCUUAGAGACUAGAAGCUAUUCUCUGCAAAAGUUCCAGGCUCAGGGACAAGAGGCCUAGAGGAGGACAGGGCUGAGGUGCUGAGCUGAAAACAAGGAGAUUAAGUUAAAUUCUGCUUGGUAAGGGUGGAAAUUAUCUACUUUCAAAACCCCAAGCAAUGCCUUCAGCUAUCUCUAACCCCAUUCCGGCAGCAGGCAUUCUAGGGAACGCGGCUCCGAUUCUAGGCGUCUUUGCUAUGGGCUGGGGAGGGGCAGGGGGUGGGUUGGGACAAUCAUCCACUUCCAUUCUCAGAACACGUCGGGGUGGUGUGCUCAUUCUCUCCUCCCCAGAAUCUAUUGAUCGCUUGUCCUGCUGUUCCAGCCCACAGCAUGCUAUGAGGCUCCCAACAGUGUCCCGGACAGGUCGAGGAAAAUGUUUAGAAUUUUACUGCAGAGAAGAUGGCUUUCCCAGUCUCCAAGUGUCCGCGAGCCUGACGCCACCUGCCAUCUGCUGGUCUUAAGCUGUAUAGCUCCAGAACAACUCCAGAGGCCAAGCGGGAACAAAGGGACCCCUCACCAACUUCGGAGGGGGAGAGGCUCCCACAGUGUCUGCUACAGGUUUUAGACGUGAGCAAGUCCAGACCACUCUUAAGAGGAAUGAGGAAAGCGAGGACUAUCCUAUUUUGGCACGUAUCUCAAAAUUGUCAUCAUUCACUUAAAGUUCAUAACCACAAAGACAUUCCUACUUAUUUUCUCAGGUGUUGCGAGUUUUGACAUGGGAAGAAAAUAUCACUUUUAGAAGCAUAAGUUAGACUAAUUCAGAGCGCCCUGAUUUUUACACCAACCCUCCUCUCACAGAGCGUGGCAUCUCCUUAAGGAAGCAUGUCUCAGAUUCUACACCAGCCUGCAUGUUGCAAGAUUGCGUCCCACCCGAUGAUUUUCCUCGGGUUCCAGUCUUUGUUCACUGCUGGGGCUUUUUCAAUGGCUGCCAGGCAGCAGGUAAGAGCGACUUACAGCUUUUUUCAUAGAAAAUAUCAUGAAAUAGUUUUAAUUAACGGAUGCCAAUUCUACUUUUUCCCUGUUCCUAGUAUUAAAUUGCCUUCCAUCAAAGUCAGUUAUUUGAGCAAAACAGGUCAGGCACACUCCCUAUGGGGCAGCCCCUAGAAAGACAUUGUAUGGCAGCAACGGAUUUAACCUCGGGGUUUACUCCCAGCCUUUGGGAGGUCCAAUCCUCCCAAUUCUGUUUCUCUUUAUUGGUCUAAGAUGCUGUGUUACCAUGAUUGUGUGUUGUUUCUUUUUAAAAAUAUGUUUUAAAAAAUAUUGUGUGUAUGGGUAGCUGGACUUACUGCAAAAAUCUUGGAAAAUGUAGAAAAGCACAUAAUAAUAAUAAUAAUAUUAAUAAUGGUAGCUAUGGUUUAUUGAGCAGUCACUCUUCGGCAGGCAAUGUUGAAAGCACGACGUGUGUAUCAUUCAUUUAGCACCCAAGAACCCCAUGAGAUAGGAACUAUUAUCAUCUCCAUUUUUCAAGUGAGGAAGCUGAGGCACUGAGAAGUCAAGUAACAUAAAAAAGAAGCUAAAACUUCCCCAUGAUAUCAUGCUGAAAAUAACUGUAACCAACAUGGAAUCCUCAUUUCUGAAUGAAUGAAAGGCCCCUGCCUUAUGCAUGCAUUGAUUCAUUCAGAAGCUAUCUUACCACAACUCUUUGCUGCCCUGGGGCCAGUUGUGGAUUGAAGGACCUUUUCCAAUAACUGCAUUUCAAGUGUGGCCUUUUGUGAUCAAAUGCAGAGGGAACUUCUGGCCAGUGGGAGGACAAAUAGGCUGAAACCACUGCCAUCCUAAUGCCCAUUCCCAGAUCUGGCCAUACCAGAAACCAAAGUCCAGACAAGAACUCAAGGUCCUGCCAAAAGCCAGCUUUGGAAGUGAGGGUAUUAAAAAUAAGAGCCAAACAGUGGCCACUACUGCUGCCCCGUGAACAGUGAUUUCAGUGACUGACAGGUGUCCUAGAAGAACAAGUGUCAUCUUACUGAUGGCUCUCGUUAGCGAUGGCAGCAACUGUAAAACCAUGUCCACUCUGCACGUUUGAUGACGUGGGAAAGUGCUCAUGAUGUGUGAGAGGAGGAGAGGAAGCCGCAAAGCAGAACGUGUGUGUGGUAUGAUGGCAAAGUUCAAAAAAAAAGUGCCUAUAGGCAUUGAAAAAGAACUGGAAAAAUUAAAAGAAAAAAGAAAAACCUUAGUGAUUCUGCCUAAAGAAAGAAUAUGAGGGAUUUUCUUUUUUUUUUCCUUUUCUUUUCAUUUCCCAAAUUUCCACGAAGAACAUGCAUUACUUGUAUGCUCAUUAAAAGUCAAUAAUGUUAUCUUAAAUAAAAAAAAAGCUGUACAAGUCGAUUAGCA